AAACAGUGUACCUGGAUGUGCCUAACACCUCUACAUGACUAAACUGCAGGAGCGCUGAGCUGGAAUGACAAGCCAAGUGUUCCAGAGUCAGCAAAAUCACAGGGUCAACAACAGCCAUUAGAGUGCUUCAGGUAAAGAGCUCAUGGCUCAGCUCCACUGGAUAGUGAAAGAUAGGAAGAUAAAGGUAAGAGAGUUUCUUCAGAC